rnacentral:rRNA from 1 species
GACGAAGGAUGCAAGCGUUAUCCGGAUUCAUUGGGUUUAAAGGGAGCGUAGGUGGCCUUAUAAGUCAGUGGUGAAAUCUCGCAGCUUAACUGCGAAAUCGCCAUUGAUACUGUAGGGCUUGAGUACAGUUGCCGUUGGCGGAAUAUGACAUGUAGUGGUGAAAUACAUAGAGAUGUCAUAGAACACCGAUUGCGAAGGCAGCUAACGAAACUGUAACUGACACUGAGGCUCGAAAGUGCGGGGAUCAAACAGG